ACAGUGAUAAAAAUUCACUUGGAUGAAUUUUGCUUAAUUUACAUCCUUGAAUUAAUUUAGUGUAAAUUUUCAGGUUCAAGGUUAAUGUUCAAGUAAUUGAUAAUUCUGGAUCAACAACUUUUACUCUCUUUGAUAGGGUGGUUUCUCAAGCUUUGGGAAGAAAUGUACAAGAUCUGUUGGAUAACAUGAAUCAUGAUUUAGCUUAUCCACCGGAGCUUGAUGUAUUUGUGGACAAACAAAUGUUGUUUAAGGUAGAAGUUACUGAUGCCAAUUUGUUUCGUAAUUGGCGCAAUUAUACUGUGAAGAAGUUGACUUAAGACGGGGAGAUAAUCAAUCAGUUUUUAACAUUGCAUGGGAUAAAUUUGAAUGAUGUGGGUAUAGAUGUUGAAUGUGUUCAGAUAGGAGGUGAAGUUGCUGAUAAUAAUGCUAUGGAGGCAAUUGAAGGUGGUGAUUCAAACAAAGAGGAAUUGACUAUUGUAGAUUCUGGAAAUACACCUACAAGCAAGAUAUUGGGGAAGAGGUUGUCUGAUAGUCCUGAAUCAAUUGCUGUGAAUGAUAUCAACGGUGGUGCUUCAUCGGUUGUUAAAGAUUCUAAAUGUGUAAAGCUUGAAAAAUCUGAUUGAGUGGCCUGCGUGCUAAAAAAUAUUCGUUGUGUCUUGCAGUUAUUUUCUUUUUAAUUUACCAGUUGUUGAACCAAGUUAAUGCUAAG